GCCGGGCGUGGUGGCGUGCACCUGUAAUCCCAGCUACUCAGGAGGCUGAGGCAGAAGAAUUGCUUGAACCUGGUAGGCGGAGGUUGCAGUGAGCCGAGAUCGUGCCACUGCACUCCAGCCUGGAGACAGAAUGAGACUCCGUCUCAAAAAUAAAUAAAUAAAUAAGCAAUCCUUCUUCCUUUUUUUUUUUUUUUUUUUUUGAGACGGGGUUUUGCUCUGCCCCCCAGGCUGGAGUGCAGUGGCUGGAUCUCAGCUCACUGCAAGCUCCGCCUCCCGGGUUUACGCCAUUCUCCUGCCUCAG
rnacentral:sRNA from 1 species